GACAGGUUGGCCGAGUUGGUUAAGGCGACAGACUUAAGAUCUGUUGGACGGUUGUCCGCGCGAGUUCGAACCUCGCAUCUGUCA